GACGAACGCUGGCGGCGUGCUUAACACAUGCAAGUCGAGCGAUGAACCCGGAGCUUGCUCUGGGGGAUUAGUGGCGAACGGGUGAGUAACACGUGAGUAACCUGCCCUGGACUCUGGGAUAAGCGUUGGAAACGACGUCUAAUACCGGAUAGGACCUUGGAUCGCAUGAUCUGGGGUGGAAAGUUUUUUCGGUCUGGGAUGGACUCGCGGCCUAUCAGCUUGUUGGUGAGGUAAUGGCUCACCAAGGCGUCGACGGGUAGCCGGCCUGAGAGGGUGACCGGCCACACUGGGACUGAGACACGGCCCAGACUCCUACGGGAGGCAGCAGUAGGGAAUAUUGCACAAUGGGCGAAAGCCUGAUGCAGCAACGCCGCGUGCGGGAUGACGGCCUUCGGGUUGUAAACCGCUUUUAGUAGGGAAGAAGGGCUUCGGCUUGACGGUACCUGCAGAAAAAGGACCGGCUAACUACGUG
rnacentral:rRNA from 1 species